AUCCAGCCAUGCCGCGUGUGUGAAGAAGGUCUUCGGAUUGUAAAGCACUUUAAGUUGGGAGGAAGGGCAGUAAAUUAAUACUUUGCUGUUUUGACGUUACCGACAGAAUAAGCACCGGCUAACUCUGUGCCAGCAGCCGCGGUAAUACAGAGGGUGCAAGCGUUAAUCGGAAUUACUGGGCGUAAAGCGCGCGUAGGUGGUUCGUUAAGUUGGAUGUGAAAGCCCCGGGCUCAACCUGGGAACUGCAUUCAAAACUGUCGAGCUAGAGUAUGGUAGAGGGUGGUGGAAUUUCCUGUGUAGCGGUGAAAUGCGUAGAUAUAGGAAGGAACACCAGUGGCGAAGGCGACCACCUGGACUGAUACUGACACUGAGGUGCGAAAGCGUGGGGAGCAAACAGGAUUAGAUACCCUG
rnacentral:rRNA from 1 species